CCAUUAGCUACUGCACAGGGUAGCCUUCCUCUCUCACAAAGACAUUUGUUCACUGUCGCACGGCUGGCUUCCCUAGCAAUUUCCUACCAAUGCAGUUUGACUCAAUCUGGAAGGUGGGGAGCUGGCAAAGCCAUUGGAGUAGGCGGCUGUUAUUCCCGUGCUGGUGGGAAAACUGAGGCACAAAGAUAGCUCGACCCAGGACCUGCAGAAGGGCCUGGACACCCGUGUAAGGAUUAAUCCGCUGGUUGUGACAAUGUGGGCCUCUUCUAGAAGCUCACUCUGGAUUCAACCUCCCACUGCAGCCAGAAGCGUACGAUCAACCAAAGCCGAGGCCAGGGUCUAACUCAGGAAGGACUCCAGGAGCACAAUGAACAGCACCGAUUUCUUCUGUGGAGACGAUCGCCCUUGGGUAUGAUUGGCACAUGGUCCGUGCCAGUGCCUGACCUUCCAGAUUCCCAAGCAAAUCUUCAUAAAACUCAAAAUGCACCCGGCAGAGGAAUGCCAUCCCCUCUGUGAAUGGAUUAUGUCUCCACCAGACAGGUCUGCACAAUGGACGUGGAGUCUGUCUGUGAAUUGUAAGACCCUGAUGGUGAGAAUUGCAUCCAUUUAAUCUUCGUAGUUGGGUUCACCUUACCUAAAAAUGAAAAUGACCUCCCUGGUUCCUGGGUAGGAAGAAAGGAGGCAAGAAGAACCUGGGCUAAUCUAGCAAUUGCCUAGGGCUUUUGCAGUUGCAGAAGCAUUGUGCUUUGAGAUACCACAGCCCUGAAGUAUCUGCCUGAAUUUCUGGAGACCCAACAGAAGUCUUGGCAGGAUGGAGGACAUUUUUUGGAUCUAGUUCCCAAAACUAUAGCUGUGAGUUCCAGGGCGAUAAUUAGGUAUUAAUGCAGCUAGGGAUUGUUGUUAAUCAAUUUCUGCAAACUUGUUUAGAUGUAACUGGGAAUUUUUAUUAACGAAUGCAUGCAAGCUUACAAAUCGCUUACUGGUAUUAAUAACUCACGUGCGUGAAUGCGGUUGCUUUGUUUAUAAGAACAUGCCUGACUCCCUGGAGCUCUGAGGACGAGUGUGCAACACAACCAGCUGUUCAACACCAGGCACUGCUUCCUUCCGAGCAGAAUAUCGCCUUUGCUUGAGAGGUUAAAAAUCAACAGCAGGGCCUGACGAGAAACAUGGACAAUAAAUGAAACGUCAGGACUAAUCUCUUAUGUGACACCUGCUGAUCUCAAGAGGGUUCAGCUGCUGGGACUACACAGUGGUUCAUGAUGGUUCUGGGCUAAAACCAAAAGUCAAGGGUAAGAACCUACAAGUGGGACCAGAUGGUGAUUCAAGAUACGUAUAUUAAGUUGAGGGAAAACAACAGCGUGCGUUUCAUAAGGAUGUACACAAGAGUGGCCGGGGCAUUGUGUGUCUCCUAAUACGAGGUACUUGCAAGUUUACAGCAACACUCCCUAAGAAACACUCUUGCCAUAGAGAAUUCAACCUGGGUUUCAUCAAGCCUCUGGAUAUGACUACCAGUGUACAGGAAAUCCAGGAGAUAGAGGAACAUACUAAACAACAUUCUGAAGAAGGACGAAGCCAAAUUCAGAAAAUGGGAAAUUCUGUGGGACAAAGGACUUGAUUCCUUCAAUAAAGAAAUGACAAUAUAGAAAACACAGAAGAGAAGAAACUAGUAUAGAUU